rnacentral:rRNA from 1 species
GAUGAACGCUGGCGGCGUGCCUAAUACAUGCAAGUCGAGCGAACGGACGAGAAGCUUGCUUGUCUGAUGUUAGCGGCGGACGGGUGAGUAACACGUGGAUAACCUACCUAUAAGACUGGGAUAACUUCGGGAAACCGGAGCUAAUACCGGAUAAUAUUUUGAACCGCAUGGUUCAAAAGUGAAAGACGGUCUUGCUGUCACUUAUAGAUGGAUCCGCGCUGCAUUAGCUAGUUGGUAAGGUAACGGCUUACCAAGGCAACGAUGCAUAGCCGACCUGAGAGGGUGGUCGGCCACACUGGAACUGAGACACGGUCCAGACUCCUACGGGAGGCAGCAGUAGGGAAUCUUCCGCAAUGGGCGAAAGCCUGACGGAGCAACGCCGCGUGAGUGAUGAAGGUCUUCGGAUCGUAAAACUCUGUUAUUAGGGAAGAACAUAUGUGUAAGUAACUGUGCACAUCUUGACGGUACCUAAUCAGAAAGCCACGGCUAACUACGUG